rnacentral:rRNA from 1 species
GACGAACGCUGGCGGCGUGCCUAAUACAUGCAAGUCGAGCGGACGGAUGGGAGCUUGCUCCCAGACCGUCAGCGGCGGACGGGUGAGUAACACGUGGGCAACCUGCCUGUAAGACUGGGAUAACUCCGGGAAACCGGGGCUAAUACCGGAUAACUCUUUCCCUCACAUGAGGGAAAGCUGAAAGAUGGCAUCUCGCUAUCACUUACAGAUGUGCCCGCGGCGCAUUAGCUAGUUGGUGGGGUAACGGCUCACCAAGGCGACGAUGCGUAGCCGACCUGAGGGGGUGAUCGGCCACACUGGGACUGAGACACGGCCCAGACUCCUACGGGAGGCAGCAGUAGGGAAUCUUCCGCAAUGGACGAAAGUCUGACGGAGCAACGCCGCGUGAGUGAUGAAGGUUUUCGGAUCGUAAAACUCUGUUGUCAGGGAAGAACAAGUACCGGAGUAACUGCCGGUACCUUGACGGUACCUGACCAGAAAGCAACGGCUAACUACGUG